rnacentral:lncRNA from 1 species
GUUUGUUUGUUUUGUUUUGUUUUUUGUAAGGAAGAGAUGUGCUUUUAUUUAGCUCUGGAGUCUGCAAAGUCCAGAAACGUGAUACCAGCAUUGAGGAAGGGUCUUAGACAUCAUUAUCACCACUACCACCAUCUUUACCAUCAUCUCUGCCACCACCACCACCACCACCACUGUCCUCCAUAUUUCAUCUUAUGCUCAGCAUUCUGGGAGAUAUACUUUCAGGGUUAGUGUCCCCAGCCCAAUUUGGCAAAUUUUGAUACUGGAUUUCUGACUUUGGAAAUAUUAGCAUAUAUGUUGAGCUAUCUCAGGAAAGGGUCUCAAGUUUAAACAUGAAUUAAACUUUUUUUCAAAAUAUACCUCAUACACAGCCUGAAGAUGAUUUUAUCUCAUUACUUUGCCACACAUAUCUCUACUGAGACAAUCCAGGAGGCCAGGCAUGGGAUCUCCACCUGGGAAGUGACAAUGACAUCAACAUUCCUUUCAGGUUUGGGAAGAUUUGGGGACCUGAGGAUUUUGGAUUUGGGGCUUUCAGAUUUGUGACCACCCCAUUUACAGGCUUAUGAAAGAACCCCGAAUGGAUGUGGCCACAAAUACAAGAAGAAGAAAAAAAAAUGGCAGGAGAGAAAAAAGGUCCCAGGGAGUGGCUGAGCCAAAGAGAAAUGCUGUGGUAUCAGAGGCUCUGGUGUUAGGCUUGGCCCUGGCUCAAGCACCUCUGGGAAGAUGGGGAGCAGAAAGAAGAGAGACUGCAGGGCAACUGUGCACACCUCAUCCUCACAGGGAGGUCUUAAGCCCUGAAGGAACAGCCUCUGCCUUUGCUGCUCAGAGAUCUCAGAGGAAGGAGAAGCAGCUGGAGCUGACAAAGCAGACCUUGGGUGACGCUCACCUGGGCUGGUGGAGUGGAGGACCCCUGGGGUUCGCUGGCUUGUUCUGAGGCCCUCAGUGCCUCAUCCUCAUCAGCUGGUGAGACAAGAUUCUUAGAGGCUCCCACCCAUCCAAACACACCAGAAUGGGUGAUACAAAACUCCCUGUGUGGGGUAGGGGCAG